rnacentral:rRNA from 1 species
UACGGAGGGUGCAAGCGUUGUUCGGAAUUACUGGGCGUAAAGCGCGUGUAGGCGGUCGGGUAAGUCAGAUGUGAAAGCCUUCCGCUUAACGGAAGAAGUGCAUUUGAGACUGCUCGGCUGGAGUUCGGGAGAGGAGAGUGGAAUUCCCGGUGUAGAGGUGAAAUUCGUAGAUAUCGGGAGGAACACCGGUGGCGAAGGCGGCUCUCUGGCCCGACACUGACGCUGAGACGCGAAAGUGUGGGGAGCAAACAGG